AGGUGCGAUCAUACCAGCACUAAUGCACCGGAUCCUAUUAGAACUACGCAGUUAAGUGUGCUUGGGCCAGAGUAGUACUAGGAUGGGAGACCUCUUGGGAAGUCCUCGUGUUGCACCCC
rnacentral:rRNA from 1 species